UUUCGCGUGACAUCUUUCAUGCCUUCUAAAUUAAAUUACCAUACCCUUUAUUAAUCUUAAUAUGUCACCAAUCCACAACCUGAUCUCAUCACUUCGCUUUCCACCUGUUUGUCCCUACAAUUUUAAUAUCCAAAUUGCAUGAGUCAUUAGGAACCACUGGUAUUCAUUUAGUUACUACACUGCGGUGGCAGCGGCACAAGCUGCAACUGCUGAGAAGCCAUUGCAGUCACCCAUUGUUUAAUAGAAGCAGCAAGAGGUGGACUUAUGUGAAUAUUCAAUAUUUUUCAGAGGUUAUUAGAUUCAAUGUCUGGUUGGAGUCUUCUUAGAGAAUUUCGAAUCCAGAAGAUUCACAUGGCUAUCGUUCUUAAUGAGUAAGGUUCAACUGUUGGAGUAUGUGCUUGCCAUAUCGGAAUAAAACCAACUCAGAUCAGUUUGUUUGACAUAAAUAUGAAUAUAUGAAUCUUUCAAUUUGUGAUUCGCUUAAAAUGUAUAAACUGUGCUAAGUAUAAUAUAACCAUAGAAACAAAAGAAUCGUAUUAAAGAUAUCAAUUAGAAGUUAGAACAUGUUAGCACUAUGGUUUUGGUUACAAUAAAUUGUGAAUGAGUAAUGAUAAUUUUCCUCCCAUCUUUUGAAUUCAUUUUGCCAAUC